rnacentral:rRNA from 1 species
GAUGAACGCUGGCGGCGUGCCUAAUACAUGCAAGUCGAGCGAACGGACGAGAAGCUUGCUUCUCUGAUGUUAGCGGCGGACGGGUGAGUAACACGUGGAUAACCUACCUAUAAGACUGGGAUAACUUCGGGAAACCGGAGCUAAUACCGGAUAAUAUUUUGAACCGCAUGGUUCAAAAAUGAAAGACGGUCUUGCUGUCACUUAUAGAUGGAUCCGAGCUGCAUUAGCUAGUUGGUAAGGUAACGGCUUACCAAGGCAACGAUGCAUAGCCGACCUGAGAGGGUGAUCGGCCACACUGGAACUGAGACACGGUCCAGACUCCUACGGGAGGCAGCAGUAGGGAAUCUUCCGCAAUGGGCGAAAGCCUGACGGAGCAACGCCGCGUGAGUGAUAAAGGUCUUCGGAUCGUAAAACUCUGUUAUUAGGGAAGAACAUAUGUGUAAGUAACUGUGCGCAUCUUGACGGUACCUAAUCAGAAAGCCACGGCUAACUACGUG